rnacentral:lncRNA from 1 species
CUGCAAGAGGCACGAAGCUGUCCCUUGGCUGAGCACGAGGUGCCACCAGAGCAGACCCACAGACUGGUCUGUCCCUCACCUGCUGCUGCAGGAGCCAGGAGAGGAUGGACAGUCCUGGAUCAGCCCCUCGGUGCCGACAGCGCUUCCUGUGGAGAUCAGAGCAAUGAACAACUGGGCACUGCUGGAGCAGCAGGGAAACCUCUCCUGGGGGAUGUGGAGAGUGGCUCAUUGUCAGCUGCCACCACUUCCCAGAUUCCCAAACUGCUCUGAGUUAUUUGGGAUGCAACUACAGAAGCCCUGAGAGAUCUCCAAGGUACGGACAAAAAUGAGACAUUUGUGUUCUCACGGCCCAGCUGAGCUCCCUCAGGACACUGCAGUGCCCC